rnacentral:rRNA from 1 species
AGCGAACGCUGGCGGCAGGCCUAACACAUGCAAGUCGAACGAACCUUUCGGGGUUAGUGGCGGACGGGUGAGUAACACGUGGGAACGUGCCUUUAGGUGCGGAAUAACUCAGGGAAACUUGUGCUAAUACCGAAUGUGCCCUUCGGGGGAAAGAUUUAUCGCCUUUAGAGCGGCCCGCGUCUGAUUAGCUAGUUGGUUGAGGUAAUGGCUCACCAAGGCGACGAUCAGUAGCUGGUCUGAGAGGAUGAUCAGCCACAUUGGGACUGAGACACGGCCCAAACUCCUACGGGAGGCAGCAGUGGGGAAUCUUGCGCAAUGGGCGAAAGCCUGACGCAGCCAUGCCGCGUGAAUGAUGAAGGUCUUAGGAUUGUAAAAUUCUUUCACCGGGGACGAUAAUGACGGUACCCGGAGAAGAAGCCCCGGCUAACUUCGUG